rnacentral:rRNA from 1 species
CUACGUGCCAGCAGCCGCGGUAAUACGUAUGUCGCGAGCGUUAUCCGGAAUUAUUGGGCAUAAAGGGCAUCUAGGCGGACGAUCAAGUCAGGGGUGAAAACUUGCGGCUCAACUGUAAGCUUGCCUUUGAAACUGAUUGUCUAGAGUAUUGGAAAGGUGGGCGGAACUACACGAGUAGAGGUGAAAUUCGUAGGUAUGUGUAGGAAUGCCGAUGAUGAAGAUAGCUCACUGGACGAUAACUGACGCUGAAGUGCGAAAGCUAGGGGAGCGAACAGGAUUAGAUACCCUGGUAGUCCUAGCUGUAAACGAUGAUCACUGGGUGUGGGCAGGAAGACUGUCUGUGCCGAAGCAAAUGCGAUAAGUGAUCCGCCUGGGGAGUACGACCGCAAGGUUGAAACUCAAAGGAAUUGACGGGGACCCGCACAAGCGGUGGAGCAUGUGGUUUAAUUCGACGCAACGCGAGGAACCUUACCAGAUCUUGACAUCC